GAUGAACGCUGGCGGCGUGCUUAACACAUGCAAGUCGAACGAAGCAUUUGCGACAGAUUUUUUUCGGAAUGAAGUUGCUUAUGACUGAGUGGCGGACGGGUGAGUAACGCGUGGGUAACCUGCCUUGUACUGGGGGAUAGCAGCUGGAAACGGCUGGUAAUACCGCAUAAGCGCACAAUGUUGCAUGACAUGGUGUGAAAAACUCCGGUGGUAUAAGAUGGACCCGCGUCUGAUUAGCUAGUUGGUGAGAUAACAGCCCACCAAGGCGACGAUCAGUAGCCGACCUGAGAGGGUGACCGGCCACAUUGGGACUGAGACACGGCCCAGACUCCUACGGGAGGCAGCAGUGGGGAAUAUUGCACAAUGGAGGAAACUCUGAUGCAGCGACGCCGCGUGAGUGAAGAAGUAAUUCGUUAUGUAAAGCUCUAUCAGCAGGGAAGAUAGUGACGGUACCUGACUAAGAAGCUCCGGCUAAAUACGUG
rnacentral:rRNA from 1 species